rnacentral:rRNA from 1 species
CCCCACCUGAUCCCAUCUCGAACUCAGAAGUGAAACGCAAUCGCGCCGAUGGUAGUGUGGGGUCUCCCCAUGUGAGAGUAGGUCAUUUCCAGGC